rnacentral:rRNA from 1 species
GGAGUUAGGAAAUGUAAGUGCGCUAAUAUCGCAUUUAUUUGACGAAGGCUCCAAAGGAAGUCACGGCUAACUCUGUGCCGGCAGCCGCGGUAAUACAGAGGUGGCAAGCGUUGUUCGGAAUUAUUGGGCGUAAAGAGCACGUAGGUGGGUUUGUAAGUCAGAUGUGAAAGCCUUCUGUUCAACGGAAGAAUUGCAUCUGAAACUGCGAGUAUUGGGUGUAGGAGGGGAGAGUGGAACUUCUGGU